rnacentral:ncRNA from 1 species
AUAAUGCUACUUCCGCCCAGCCACAGACAUCGCAAUGGGGGCGGCUCGGUGAGAACCACGGAGAGGUGAAAUUCCUAUGG